rnacentral:rRNA from 1 species
UUCCAGCUCCAAAAGCAUAUACUAAAAUUGCUGUAGUUAAAACGCUCGUAGUUGAUAUAAGGAUGGUGUCUGAACAACCUGUCUAACCUCUUCUGUAUGUCAGGUUUGGCAACAGAUCAAAGCGUACUUAAAAAUGGACCUGUCAAGGACAGGAACAGGGGGUUAGUCCUCUGGCGUAUUCAACCAGUGCUUCGAUGUCAGUCUUCUUCCAUCAAGCAUUGGGCGUAGGUAAGACGGAUGCAUUUCCGAUGUAAACCGUGAACAAAUUAGUGUGCUUCAAACAAGCAGCGUGAAUAUGUGCUUCGGUACAUAUUUGAGCUUGAAUAAUUUAGCAUGGUACUAUGUUUCCCUUUUUCGGAAGGGAAUCAGAUAACAGAAGGGAUGGAGGACUCUGGUAUUGCGCGUCUAGAGGUGAAAUUCCGAUAUUUUCGCAAGACGAACGGAGGCGCAAGCGGUCGUGUCCAUUGUAUCUUCAUUGAUCAGGAACGAGAGUCAGGGGAUCGAAGAUGAUUAGAUACCGUCGUAGUCCUGACUGUAAACGAUGCCAACUCAACUUCAAGUGUGAUACGAUAUUAGGGAUCUUCUUGGAAUUGACGGGAAACCAUUAAGUUAUUGGGUUCUGGGGGGAGUAUGGUCGCAAGGCUGAAACUUAAAGGAAUUGACGGAAAGACACCACCAGGAGUGGAGUCUGCGGCUUAAUUCGACUCAACGCGGGAAAACUCACCAGGACAGGGCAGUGUCGAGAUUGACAGGUGAAAGAGUCCUUUCUUGAUUUACUGGUUGGUGGUGCAUGGUCGUUCUUAGUUCGUGGAGUGAUCUGUCUACUUAAUUGUGCCAACGAACGAGACCUUGACCUAUUAGUUAGGCACCUGUUGACGAUUUCGGUCGUCAUGGGUUUCGGUUUUACUGAAAUCAGGUUAUUCCUUCGGGAUACUUCUUAAAGGGACAAGACGACGUUGAAUAACGCAGCGUAAGGAAGAGCAAGGCAAUAACAGGUCUGUGAUGCCCUUAGAUGCCCUGGGCGGCACGCGUACUACAAUGUUAUUAACAACGAGCAAAAACAGUUUCUGAUUCUGCACCUUAAAGGUGUAGGUAAUCUUGUCAAUUGAUUACAAGACAGGGAUAGAUGUUUGUAAAUACAUCUUGAACGAGGAAUUCCUAGUAAGCGCAAGUCAUGAUCUUGCAUUGAUUACGUCCCUGUCUUU